UGCUUCUUGUGUGUCUCUUUGCAANAUAA
rnacentral:piRNA from 1 species